rnacentral:tRNA from 1 species
GCCCCCAUCGUCUAACGGUUAGGACAGUUGAUUCUCAUUCAAUAAAUCGGAGUUCGAUUCUCCGUGGGGGCACCA